GCCACGGCUAAUUCCGUGCCAGCAGCCGCGGUAAUACGGGAGUGGCAAGCGUUAUCCGGAAUUAUUGGGCGUAAAGCGUCCGCAGGCGGCUUUUCAAGUCUGCUGUUAAAGCGUGGAGCUUAACUCCAUCAUGGCAGUGGAAACUGAAAGGCUUGAGUAUGGUAGGGGCAGAGGGAAUUCCCGGUGUAGCGGUGAAAUGCGUAGAUAUCGGGAAGAACACCAGUGGCGAAGGCGCUCUGCUGGGCCAUUACUGACGCUCAUGGACGAAAGCCAGGGGAGCGAAAGGGAUUAGAUACCCCUGUAGUCCUGGCCGUAAACGAUGAACACUAGGUGUCGGGGGAAUCGACCCCUUCGGUGUCGUAGCUAACGCGUUAAGUGUUCCGCCUGGGGAGUACGCACGCAAGUGUGAAACUCAAAGGAAUUGACGGGGGCCCGCACAAGCGGUGGAGUAUGUGGUUUAAUUCGAUGCAACGCGAAGAACCUUACCAGGGUUUGACAUCCUGCGAACCUCUUAGAAAUUUGAGGGUGCCUUCGGGAAUGCAGUGACAGGUGGUGCAUGGCUGUCGUCAGCUCGUGUCGUGAGAUGUUGGGUUAAGUCCCGCAACGAGCGCAACCCACGUUUUUAGUUGCCAGCAUUUAGUUGGGCACUCUAGAAAGACCGCCGGUGAUAAACCGGAGGAAGGUGUGGAUGACGUCAAGUCAUCAUGCCCCUUACACCCUGGGCUACACACGUACUACAAUGCUACGGACAAAGGGCAGCAAACUCGCGAGAGCUAGCAAAUCCCAUAAACCGUGGCUCAGUUCAGAUCGUAGGCUGCAACUCGCCU
rnacentral:rRNA from 1 species